CUAACAUCGUAUACAUAUGUAAUCUAACAAGCUAAAAUCUGACCGACCGUCUUUAUAGUAAGUGGCAAAGGACUUGGUAGUUGGUACCCGAGAUUCAAGUUCGAAUUCUAAUUAAUUCACAUUUCCAGCUAAGCUUAUUUCUAAAUGAAAUAAACGAAAUAGAUAGCGUGCUACCUAUUUUUCAAAAAAAAAAAAGGUAAAAUCUGGAUAAACUACCGCUCUCUCGUCCUAAAUUUUC
rnacentral:lncRNA from 1 species